rnacentral:rRNA from 1 species
CCCUUAGAUGUCCGGGGCUGCACGCGCGCUACACUGUAGAAAGCAGCGUGCUUUAAAACCUUUCCUGAAAAGGAUGGGUAACCCCAGCAAAAUUCUACGUGCUUGGGAUAGAGAUUUGCAAUUUUCUCUCUUGAACGAGGAAUUCCCAGUAAGUGCGAGUCAUCAGCUCGCGUUGAUUACGUCCCUGCCCUUUGUAUACACCGCCCGUCGCUACUACCGAUUGGGAAAAUUUUAGAGAGUCCUGGACUGAUGAUUGUUCGGCUUCACGGCCUUACUUUCGUCGGGAAAGAAUUCGAUAAUAUUUUUCUAGAGGAAGUAAAAGUCGUAACA